AUUCUUCCCACGCCAAACGCAGGUUAGGAACCUAAGCUCGGAUGAAAUGCUGGCUUAGACCUCAUUGCUACUGAGAAGCAGAAACCACACUUUUUAGUUGGUAGAGGUGGAUGUGGAUUGGGGCCAUAAAGUUUCCUCAAUCAUUGAAUAAGGAUUUCAUUAUUUGGACUAACUAAAUACAUUAGAUUAUUUAUACUAACUAAAUAAAUUAGAUUUAUUUUUCGAAGUUUAAAAUCAUUUUCAAUAGUGACGAAAAAGGCUGUAGAUGAGAUGGGAGAAUCUUUCGACGCCAAAUUCUUCCCAUCUCCUGCCUAGUAUGUAUCACUACACCUUGCCCAGAGAGACUGUAGGGGUGCUCAGCAAAAACCAUGGCUGGUUGAUUCCCUGGAAAAAGGGGUGCUGUCCCAGGGAGCUCUGUGCCCUUCCUGCCAACACUGGGGUCUAGAGGAGGCAAGUUCCCCUCUGAAGGUGAGUAUGAUUCACUCAUUAAAACUAAGAAAUUUACAUUGGUAUGUUACUGUUAACUAACCUACAGACUUUUUUUAGAUUUCACCGUUCUUUACACUCUCGUCCUUUCCAAUUUCCGGGAUCCAAUGCAGGAUACCAGGUUGCAUUUUUGGAUGUGUCCAGUCUGUGAUCAUUUCUCAAUCUUUCCUCAUUUUCUCAUGACUUUUGACAUUUAUUUAUUUAUUUAUUGUGUGAGACUGAGUCUCACUCUGUUGCCUAGGCUGGAGUGCAGUGGCCCCAUCCUGGCUCACUACAAUCUCCACCUCCCGGGUUCAAAUGAUUCUCCUGCCUCAGCCUCCCAAGCAGCUGGGAUUACAGGCGCACACCACCACGCCUGGCUAAUUUGUAUUUUUAGUAGAGAUGGGGUUUCACCAUGUUAGCCAGGCUGGUCUCAAACUCCUGACUUCAGGUGAUCUGCCUGCCUCGGCCUCCCAAAGUGCUAGGAUUACAGGCGCAGGCCACCACGCCCAGCCUGACUUCUGACAUUAGAGUACAGGGAGGGAUUCUGUAGAAUGUCCCUCAAUUUGGGUGUGUCUCUGCUUCCCUUUCCCCGUGUUUAUUUUCAGACGAAGCCAAGUGGCCCGGGGGGACCCUCCGGACUCCCAGCCUUCAGAGAGGAGGGCAGCUCGGGCUUUCGCCGCAGUGCUUCCUGCCCGUCACGUGUGUGCUCCUAGCCGGGGUCGGGGGAGCUGGUAUCUUGGCCCUUCUGGGAGGACGCGCACAGCCCGAGGAGGCAGAGCCCCAGACGGGAAUGGGCUUUUCAGAGGUGGGGUGCGGGCGAGGGGACGAUGCAUUAUUUUUAAUAUUUGAUUUAUUUUUCCAACUGGACUUCUUCCCGGGGCUCUUUCUGGGCCCAGCUGCCUUUGUGAUCCCGCGCCCCGGUCCUCGGCCUCUCACCUCCAGCGCCGGGGCGCCCCCUGCUGUCGGAAGCGGCUGUGACCGGGCAGAGGUGCUAUCUGGGACUCUGGGUUCUCAGCCCGGGGACAGCGAACCGAGGGGCAGAUGAUCCAUCAGAAAAGAGCCGGCACUGCCCAGCCCCGCGCCCCUGCCCCUGCCUUUUUCCGGGAGCGCGCCGCGCCGCACCCGCUACGGCCGCUUGACCCCAUCUUUGAGCCCGGCCCCAAGCUCUGGGACCGUCGUGCCCCUCAUCAAGGAAGAGCCAAGGACCCCAAGGAGAAGAGAAAGGAGUUCAUGAAGGCAGAAAUGCCUGGGGCCCACGAACAUCCCAGUGUGGCCCUGGACGGGACAUCAUGCUGGGCAACACAGCUAAAAUGCGGGUGAAGACCAGAUUUCUUGCACAUGGCGGUGACGGGAUGCUCCCUAGAGAGCUUCAAGUGGAUUCUUUGCUUUUUAUUUUCUCUCUUAAUAAAAAUGUAUGAUGUUUACAUUGUCAGAGAACAAACAG
rnacentral:lncRNA from 10 species